GGGCGAGUGGCGCAACCGGUAGACGCGCCGGAUUUAAAAUCCGGUCCCGUGUGGGUUCGAGUCCCACCUCGCCUA
rnacentral:tRNA from 1 species